UACAGAGGGGCAAGCGUUGUUCGGAAUUACUGGGCGUAAAGGGCGCGUAGGCGGCUUUGCAAGUGACGGGUGAAAGCCCUCGGCUUAACCGAGGAACUGCCUGUCAGACUGUGAGGCUUGAGACCGGGAGAGGUGAGUGGAAUUCCAGGUGUAGCGGUGAAAUGCGUAGAUAUCUGGAGGAACACCGGUGGCGAAGGCGGCAUCCUGGGUCGGUAUUGACGCGUGAGGAGCGAAAGCCAGGGGAGCCAAAGCGGGA
rnacentral:rRNA from 1 species